rnacentral:tRNA from 1 species
GGGGUGGUGGCGCAGUUGGUUAGCGCGUAGGUCUCAUAGCUGCUUAAGGAAUCUUGAGGUCAAGAAUUCGAGCCUCUCUCACCCUA